ACACUCCUACGGGAGGCAGCAGUGGGGAAUUUUGGACAAUGGGCGAAAGCCUGAUCCAGCAAUGCCGCGUGUGUGAAGAAGGCCUUCGGGUUGUAAAGCACUUUUGUCCGGAAAGAAAUCCUUGGCUCUAAUACAGUCGGGGGAUGACGGUACCGGAAGAAUAAGCACCGGCUAACUACGUGCCAGCAGCCGCGGUAAUACGUAGGGUGCGAGCGUUAAUCGGAAUUGCUGGGCGUAAAGCGUGCGCAGGCGGUUUGCUAAGACCGAUGUGAAAUCCCCGGGCUCAACCUGGGAACUGCAUUGGUGACUGGCAGGCUAGAGUAUGGCAGAGGGGGGUAGAAUUCCACGUGUAGCAGUGAAAUGCGUAGAGAUGUGGAGGAAUACCGAUGGCGAAGGCAGCCCCCUGGGCCAAUACUGACGCUCAUGCACGAAAGCGUGGGGAGCAAACAGGAUUAGAAACCCCGGUAGUCCC
rnacentral:rRNA from 1 species